rnacentral:rRNA from 1 species
CAGCUUAUAAAACAAAAUUUUUAUUAAAAUUAAUUAAUUUAUCCAAUAAAAUUGAAAUUUAAUCAAGUUACCAUAGGGAUAACAGCGUAAUUUUUAUAUAAAGUUCUUAUUUAAAUAAAAGUUUGCGACCUCGAUGUUGAAUUAAAUUUUCUUUAUUUCGCAAUAGAAAUAUUAGUGGGUCUGUUCGACCAUUAAAAAUUUACAUGAUUUGAGUUCAAACCGGUGUAAACCAGGUUGGUUUCUAUSUUUUUAUUUUAUUUUCUAGUACGAAAGGACAAAAAAUAUUAUUUUUAAUAAUAUAUUUGGCAGAAAAUUGCAUUAGAAUUAGAAUCUAAUUAU